rnacentral:rRNA from 1 species
GAUCCUGGCUCAGGAUGAACGCUGGCGGCGUGCUAACACAUGCAAGUCGAACGGAGUAAUAUGAAGUUUCGGACAGAUUACUACUUAGUGGCGGACGGGUGAGUAACGCGUGGGUAACCUACCUCAUACAGGGGGAUAACAGUUGGAAACGACUGCUAACACCGCAUAACAAGUUGGGACCGCAUGAUCCUAACUUCAAAUAUUUAUAGGGUAUGAGAUGGGCCCCGCGUCUGAUUAGCUAGUUGGUGGGGUAAUGGCCUACCAAGGCGACGAUCAGUAGCCGGCUUGAGAGAGUGACCGGCCACAUUGGGACUGAGACACGGCCCAAACUCCUACGGGAGGCAGCAGUGGGGAAUAUUGGACAAUGGGGGCAACCCUGAUCCAGCGACGCCCGCGUGAGUGAAGAAGUAUUUCGGUAUGUAAAGCUCUAUCAGCAGGGAAGAUAAUGACAGUACCUGACUAAGAAGCCCCGGCUAACUACGUGCCAGCAGCAGC